GUUUCAUUGUGCUAGCUUCAGAUUUAGAUAUUUAUUUAUCAAGUUUGCAUUUGUUGGUCGCAUAAUUUUUCAUUACUAACAUCUAAUUACAUAAUGCAAGAUGAUCAGCAGGUUCUAAUUUUUGUCUGAUUGUUGUUAUCGAAUGCUGAGGUAUUCUCAUUGUCUUAAUGAAACCUGAUGUACAACUUUGGUUUAUUAUUAUUCUUUCUGGAUGGGUUAAGUUGCUUGAAGUUUCUUUGAUAUAUGGAACUUGGUAGAAUGUAUCAACUAUCAAGUAGUUUGCAUGUCUAUGUGUUGGAGCUCUCUCUUUCUUUUUUCAUAUAAUUUUUGUGGUCUGUUGUAAAGGUUCACACAUUUGUCCUCUGGAAAAGCGUCAUGCUAGUCACGACAUGUUGCUUACCUUUUAGAUGAUUACAUUUGUUCUGAUCUUUAUUCUGAAAGUUUUUAUUAAUUUAUUUAUUUUUUAAAUUAAACUGCUUCAACAAUAGCAUAUUAUUUUUCUGUAGGUCUAUGCAGCUGCUAAACAAUCGACAGUUUUUUUCAACCAUAUGGAUAAUAUAGUUGAUGCAUGGGGAUGAGAAAGAUGUAAAGAUUCG
rnacentral:misc_RNA from 1 species